UACAGAGGGUGCAAGCGUUAAUCGGAAUUACUGGGCGUAAAGCGAGCGUAGGUGGCUUGAUAAGUCAGAUGUGAAAUCCCCGGGCUUAACCUGGGAACUGCAUCUGAUACUGUUAGGCUAGAAUAGGUGAGAGGAAGGUAGAAUUCCAGGUGUAGCGGUGAAAUGCGUAGAGAUCUGGAGGAAUACCGAUGGCGAAGGCAGCCUUCUGGCAUCAUAUUGACACUGAGGUUCGAAAGCGUGGGUAGCAAACAGGA
rnacentral:rRNA from 1 species